CGUCAACUAUCAAUAAACGAUCGGAAAACACUGACGGGAGGGCAAAAAAGAAGCUGUAAAGUU
rnacentral:sRNA from 1 species